rnacentral:rRNA from 1 species
UGCGCCUUGCCAGCCCGCUCAGAAACUCAAAGGAAUUUGACGGGUCCCCGCACAAGCAGCGGAGCGUGUGGUUUAAUUCGUUGCUACACGAAGAACCUUACCUGGGUUUGACAUAGCAGUGGUAGGGAAGAGAAAUCGGACCGACCCUUCGGGGAGCUGUUACAGGUGUUGCAUGGCUGUCGUCAGCUCGUGUCGUGAGAUGUUCGGUUAAGUCCGCUAACGAGCGCAACCCGCGUUGUGUGUUAUAUGUGUCACACAAUACCGCCGGUAUUAAGCCGGAGGAAGGUGCGGAUGACGUCAAGUCAGCAUGACCUUUAUAUCCAGGGCUACACGCACGCUACAAUGGACAGUACAACAGGUUGCCAAGCCGCGAGGCGGAGCCAAUCCUCUAAAGCUGUCCUCAGUUCAGAUUGCAGGCUGCAACUCGCCUGCAUGAAGUUGGAGUUGCUAGUAACCGCAGGUCAGCUAUACUGCGGUGAAUACGUUCCCGGGUCUU